rnacentral:rRNA from 1 species
GACGAACGCUGGCGGCGUGCCUAACACAUGCAAGUCGAGCGGAGAUAGACUGAUGGUAACUGAAGUUUGUCUUAGCGGCGGACGGGUGAGUGACACGUGGGCAACCUGCCUUGGAGUGGGGGAUAACACCGGGAAAUCGGUGCUAAUACCGCAUAACAUACACAAACUGCAUGGUAAGUGUAUCAAAGGAGCAAUCCGCUUUAAGAUGGGCCCGCGGCUGAUUAGCUAGUUGGUAAGGUAACGGCUUACCAAGGCGACGAUCAGUAGCCGACCUGAGAGGGUGACCGGCCACACUGGAACUGAGACACGGUCCAGACUCCUACGGGAGGCAGCAGUGGGGAAUAUUGCGCAAUGGGGAAACCCUGACGCAGCAACGCCGCGUGGAGGAAGAAGGUCUUCGGAUUGGUAAACUCCUGUCUUCUGGGACGAAGUAUGACGGUACCAGAGGAGGAAGCCACGGCUAACUACGUG